rnacentral:sRNA from 1 species
UUUUUUUGAGGGUCUCACAACAGCAGGAGGAUCAGUAUUUGUGGGAGUGUGAGUGAGUAGGUAGUGGGGGGGGCACGCUUUAAGCUGCCGCUGUUGAUCGUUGCCGUUACUGACGAUGAGGUCACGAGCGUCGCUUGCUGUUUGUUUGUUCACUGCUGUCAAACCACAUCCACUUGGGAAUUGGGAUUCGGCGGUGCUGGGUUCUUUUGCUGGAGUACCGCCAACGCCACAUACGGACGACACACUGGCGGGGUCACCGCGAGCUCACGGCGUUCCCAGGUGCGUGUUAGAGUGUGCAAGCACUUAGCCUAGUUCGUUGGGUCUUAAUUUAGUAAAUUUUGUAAGUUUUGCUUCAGUGCUUCAGGUGCGCAGCACAGUUCCAGAGGUAAGAUCAGGAUUAAACAAAGUCCUCCUAGUGGGGGCUCCGGUGGUAUCGGUGCGUGGUGACUUGGAUGGGUAUUGGCCUUGGUUCUCGGUUCGGCUUGGCUCAAUGCUGCGCGGCGCGAUUCAGCAUGCAACAGUUGCACGGGAACUGGCUUUGGCUUUGGCACGGGGCACGGGCAAGGGCACUGGCACUGACACAGGAACAAGCACGGCACAGGCACAUAGUCUUCUGGCCUGGGCCGAUGGAGGCAGCAACGAAAAUCUAUGGGGCUUGUUCAAUGUUUUCGACUUUUCAUUUGUUGUACAUUUUUACGAUACCUUUUCACACACACACACUGGCAAGCGCGCGCACACACACACGCGAAACACACACUGAUAUGUAUACGUAUACAAAUACAAACACACUUUUUUUCGUCGGAACGUCGAACGUAGCAAAAGCAAAUGCUACAACAACAAUAACAAGGCACGGUGAACACCGACGUGCGUCACUCAAAGGGAGACGAGGGCGGCAAAAAGGCGCCUAUUUUGUCCGCCAAUUUGGCAAUUUCUCGGACUUGGCUGCGGCCAAAUCAAUCAAUUAUCAAAAUUAAUUUUAAUUAGACGCUACGCGUUGCACUUCUUUCAAUGUUAGCCUGCAACAGUUGCGCGGAUGUUGAUUAGAGUUGUUUCGGUCCAAAUUGAACCAGUUCAAUAGAUCGCGGCUCGAUAACGUCCCAGUAAUCGGAACACACAAAUCGACACUGGAGUUGCUUACACAGCCAUGUAUUUGGGGUAGAACGAAUGCGAACCGGAACUGGAACCGUGUGACCAGCUCAAAAGAAACCAGAUCGAUUACCCUAGUCAAUCACAAAGACGUGUUGCAGCAAUGUAUUUUGAUUAUCGUGGUUUGUUUAAUUCGAUUUUCAAUAUUGUCUUUGGCCUUAUAUUUAUCACAAAAAAUGUCAAAGGCCCAUCCUCUGGAGCUGCAAAAAAGUAUGUGUGUUUACAUACGAAUUUUAGCGUAAUACACAUCUGUGCUGCAUCUUGUGGCUUAGGUACAUGGACAAGCGGAUGAUGCUGAAGUUGAGUGGAGGACGCUCCAUCACCGGCAUACUCCUUUGAAUGGCUAUAGACGAAGCCGUUGAGGUGUGCAAGGACAACACGAAAACCACCAUCACAUCGGAAUGUUGGGAAGAUAGAUAUAUUGUCUGGUACCAAUCUUAUAAGCUUGCAUAAAUUCCCACACGCUUCAGAAAUGAAUGGUGUGCAUGGCUGGAGUCUAAUUUCUGGUAAUACGCGGCAACAGCAUUGUCAUGGUCGAAGCAUAAGGCAGGAUCUAACGCACCGACUCCACUGUAUACCUUCAGAAAUACCGGCUAAAUCUGCCGGUAUUGCACUUGAGCAAUAAUUUAUAGUAUUCAUUUUUGUGCAAGCAUAACUCACUGUAUACCUUCAAAAAUCGUAACUAAAUUAAGACAAACCUACAUGUGUA